rnacentral:rRNA from 1 species
UCUGGCCUCAAAUCAGGUAGGACUACCCGCUGAACUUAAGCA